CUUUCCUGUGUAAAGUGGUGAAACGUGCAGAAGUUGGAAGAUUUUACAAUUUGUACAUAAAUAAUUACAGAGCAACGCUAAAGAGAACAUAGUACAAUGUGACUAAUUCAUGACAGAACCACGAUAUUUUAUUAAGGAUUAAUGUCCAGCAGACAGCUCAGCUGGAAGAUGAGAAAAGGAGGCCCACAGCCAGAGCCUGAUGCCAAAGCGAGGGUUUAGAAAGCAAUAAUUCCUCAUGGAGGAAGAGGAGCUGGGCCAUGAGCAGACUCUAAAAAGAAAUGUUAAAGGCAGCGCUUCUUAAAAAAUCUUUUCAGCUUUGUUUUGGUUAGCGGUCCGCUUAGUGGCGUAUGUUUUCAGGAGGUGCGCUCAUCACGUAGUGUGUCCUGUUGAAGCGAAACGUUGUGCUGUCUGUCUCACUGAAAUCUUGCGCUGUAACAGUGGGCCACCAUUCUGUUGUUUUCACAGUGUAACAUGAACAAUCCUGUGCGAUAGCCAAAAAUCGCAGUGUCAGCCUGACAUAUUGUGUAGACUUUUAUUUUGACAAAUGUCCAGCAGUGGAAAUUACAAAUUUUGAUGCCCAUUCUGAUUGGUUGGUGACAUGUUACAGUAACCCCCAUGAAGCCGGGUUUUUUUUAGCCCAAGCCUAAAAAAAACCCGCAGCUUGCCCGACGCUGUUGCUCAGUUCUGGCUCCCACACUCUGGAAUGAGUUGCCUUUGAGCGUUAGGCAGGCGCCAUCGCUUCAGACAGUGAUAAACAUGCUCAUCCAGCAGGCUGAGGUCCAGAUGUUGGUACUGACAGAUGUGACCUGGUACGUCAAUGUCAGCAUAAUCAUCUCGGCUGAAAGACAUAAUGGACUCCCGCUGCUGUAUUGAGAAGUUGGCACAGAGUUCAGCUGGUGGAGAUGGUAAAGCUGAAAGAUCGAUGCCGUCUGAAUGACAGCCGUGCUCUGGUUCCUUAUUUUAUGCCAGGCAUCAUGGUCUCAUAGUCUGAUGAUGUCUGCAAAGAGGAGAAAUCAGUGAAUAAUCAUGUUACUGGAAUCUAGUUGUUUCACUAAAAGGAGUAGGAGAUUAGGCCCACAAAUCAAGCAGGACAUUUGUGCCUUUGGUGCCAGUGUUAACAAAUCAUAUUAAUGUUCAGUCAAACCAUAUAUUGAUCUUGUUUAUUCAAGACAUAAUUCUAAAACAAAAUAAAAAUAUUACAAUUAAUGAGUAAAGAAAUAAUCAGGAAAAAAAUACAUAUGUUGCUGCUGCUCACCAUUUAAAAAAGUUUUAUCUCCAUAGUUGUUUUAACACAGCAACAGGUGAAUUAACCCAAAAAGUACAUUUUUAUAUUUAAUCAUGGAUAACAUUUUAAAUAACUGAAAUGUAUAUUUCUGAAGUGUUUGUGUUUGUAAAAUUCAUAUGUACUGUUAUUUUAAUAAAAACGAAUAAAGGCGCAAUGCAGUA